UUCGCAAUGCCCGAAAGGGUGAACGAGCGACGCCGCGUGUGGGAUGAAGUCCUUCGGGAUGUAAACCACUGUCAGGGGAAAGAAAGUUCUGAUCUACCCCAGAGGAAGGCACGGCUAACUCUGUGCCAGCAGCCGCGGUAAGACAGAGGUGCCGAGCGUUAGGCGGAAUCACUGGGCUUAAAGCGUGUGUAGGCGGAUGCCUAAGUGCCUUGUGAAAGCCCCCGGCUCAACCGGGGAAGCGGAGCCGAAACGACCGAUCUGGAGGGACGUAAGGGGACCUGGAACUUCCGGUGGAGCGGUGAAAUGCGUUGAGAUCGGAAGGAACGCCCGUGGCGAAAGCGAGGUCCUGGACGUCUGCUGACGCUGAGACGCGAAAGCUAGGGGAGCAAACGGGAUUAGAUACCCCGGUAGUCCUAGCCGUAAACGAUGGGCACUAAGUAGAGGGGUUUU
rnacentral:rRNA from 1 species